rnacentral:rRNA from 1 species
GAUGAACGCUGGCGGCGUGCCUAAUACAUGCAAGUCGAGCGAACAGAUGAGGAGCUUGCUCCUCUGACGUUAGCGGCGGACGGGUGAGUAACACGUGGAUAACCUACCUAUAAGACUGGGAUAACUUCGGGAAACCGGAGCUAAUACCGGAUAAUAUAUUGAACCGCAUGGUUCAAUAGUGAAAGACGGUUUUGCUGUCACUUAUAGAUGGAUCCGCGCCGCAUUAUCUAGUUGGUAAGGUAACGGCUUACCAAGGCAACGAUGCGUAGCCGACCUGAUAGGGUGAUCGGCCACACUGGAACUGAGACACGGUCCAGACUCCUACGGGAGGCAGCAGUAGGGAAUCUUCCGCAAUGGGCGACAGCCUGACGGAGCAACGCCGCGUGAGUGAUGAAGGUCUUCGGAUCGUAAACCUCUGUUAUUAGGGAAGAACAAAUGUGUAAGUAACUAUGCACGUCUUGACGGUACCUAAUCAGAAAGCCACGGCUAACUACGUG